GAUGACAUACGGAGCUAGAGGUGACGCGUUUCCCGUUCCGUGACCGCUCGCCGUGAUAGUGACAAGCGGUGAGAGAGAUCGAUAAAUUGUACGGAGGCUAACAAUAAGUCGCGGCGCGACCCGAUGAAAACGCGACCGGAAACGGAAUAGGCCGCCAUCAGAGGAGGGUGGGAGAGAAUCACCGAGGUCGAGAUAUGAUGCAAAAUGACGAACUUAAUUUUACCAAGGAGAUUAAUAUAACGUGACAGCGAGGAGGUGGCCUACGCUCGUUACCGCGAUAUUAGAAGAGUAUCAACAUUGCGGGUGUGUAUGUCGACUCUUUUAUGAUUAAUCAAGAAUUGGCUCCAGUUUGUGCUACGAUUUACCGAUUUAGCAUUGCAAGAUACCCAGACAGAAUUUAUGAUACGGGAUCUAUGUGGAAUGAAAAGCCCGCCAGAGCGAAUUAAAGUCAUUCGAGAAGAAAUGGGUUAGAACAGACGAGACACUCGAGUAUUAGGAACGUAGGAGGAUAACAUUGGUUCCUGGCUCGCUGAUGUAUCUAAAUAUUGGAUAAGUGACAGCGCGACGUAGCAGGGCCGUAUGAAGAUACAGGGGGAUCAUGUUGUAUCGGAUAAGAGGCGGAGCGUGAGUCAAUGUCGUGUUCGUGUCCGGACGCGAGAGUGGGAGCAUUAAUUAGGGUGGAACAAUAGAGAACGAGAAUUUUUACCAGGGUCGCAUAGCGCACAGGAGAUCGAGGCGUGGGAGUAGUAUCAUCAUCGAUGUCUGGGUCCCGGUAGAACUGAAACCAUCGCGAGUCUCGCGCGAGGAAGAUAGAAAGACAUCUCAUUCCUUUUUCCUUUUUUUUGCGCCAAUAAAAAUUCAAUAGUUUAUAUAACGUGUUUUUCUUUUAGUUCUUUUUUUUUUAAUAGGUACAUUGGAUAUGUUUAUAUUUUAUAUAAUAGUUAUCGUAGAAAAUUAACUGUACAAUCGUAGGUAAUGAUGAUCUUUUCGCGACUGAUUCUCUCAUUCAGCGUGAAAAAACCAGAACUUGUCAAAUGUAAGAAAGGG